CUGUGGUUUCGGUUGCUCUCCCUUGUUUCCCCAGCUGGGUAUUGGCAUCGCACCAUGGUGCCCAAAGGGCAAAGUGGGCACAAGAGGGAAGAAGCAGAUAUUUGAAGAGAACAGAGAAACCCUGAAGUUCUACUUGAGAAUCAUACUAGGGGCCAAUGCCAUUUACUGCCUUGUGACCUUAGUCUUUUUCUACCCAUCUGUGCCUCAUUUUGGGCCUGGAUGGCCCUGGGCUUUAGUCUGGCAAUGUAUGGGGCCCCAGCUACCACUUUAUGAGUUCAGUGGCACAGGCAGCCUUCUCUGAGUAUGGGCCUUGAUAGGUGGUGGCAUGGACCUCAACAUGGAGCAGGGCAUGGCAGAGUACCUCAAAGAUGUGAUCCUACUAACAGCCAUCGUGCAGGUGUUCAGCUGCUUCUCCUUCUACAUCUCUAGUCUUUCUGGCUUCUGGCUCCAGGCUGGGCCCUUUUCCUCCUGUGGGUGAAUGUGCUGGGCCCCUGGUUCACAGCAGACAGUGGUGCCCCAGCACCAGAGCACAAUGAGAAACGGCAGUGCUGCCAGGAGCAGCAGCAUAUGAAGCGAUUAUAG